rnacentral:lncRNA from 1 species
UUUAUGAAAUACAAGAUGCUUAUUGAAUUCUAAGAAAUUAAUCUUCAUUUUGACCCAAUAUUCAAGAAAUAUUUGUACGUUCUUUCUCUAGAUCAAACGGAGGAAUUGAAGUCUCAUUCGUAUUAUUAUUGUGAAUGGGAUAAAGAAAUUAAAGAGUUCUGUAUCAUGAACUUUGUAUCGCGCACACCACUUCGACGGGCUCUAGCGGGUCACAGAGAGGGGAAGGAAGAAAUAAAAUAAAAAAAAAUAAAAGAAAAAAAGGCCUAUUCCCAGACAUCGAGCUAGAUGGAUAAGUAUGUAUGUAUCAUGAUCUAUAAAUGAAUAUGUAUGGCGAGCCAUAUCACUGAAUUUGUAGUGAUAGAUACUCAUAGAUAUUAAUCAUAUGCCAGGAACCAGAUU